GCGUGGCUGCGCGGCUCGUCAGGAAACUAUAUCCCCGGGGCCUUAUCAAUCCUUAAGGGAGCUGUCCCCGACCAGACCCGUGGGUUUGGUCACACGGCGCCCACCUACGUUGUAGGUCCCGGGAUUGUUCAACUCCAACGGCCGAGGUGGCUACGCA
rnacentral:other from 1 species